rnacentral:rRNA from 1 species
GGCGCCCAAGUACCGGCUGCCAGUGCCAAGGCAGGCCGCAGGGGCACAGAUUGUCCAUCCCAAGCGG